rnacentral:rRNA from 1 species
AGGAGGUCCCGCCUGCCCUGUGACCAAAAGUUUAACGGCCGCGGUAUUUUAACCGUGCAAAGGUAGCGCAAUCAAUUGUCUUUUAAAUGAAGACCUGUAUGAAUGGCAUAACGAGGGUUUAACUGUCUCUUUUUUCAGGUCAAUGAAACUGAUCUGUCCGUGCAGAAGCGGACAUAUUAACACAAGACGAGAAGACCCUAUGGAGCUUUAGACGCCCACCAACCGCGAAAAGCAGCCUACCUUAACAGAUGCUCUAAACAACGCGGUCCUGGUACAAACGUCUUCGGUUGGGGCGACCGCGGAGAAGAACAAAGCCUCCGAGAGGAAUGGGAACAAACCCUAAAACCAAGAGCCACAGCUCUAAGUCACAAAAAAUUUGACCGACAAUGAUCCGGCUUACUGCCGAUCAACGGACCAAGUUACCCUAGGGAUAACAGCGCAAUCCCCUCCCAGAGUCCAUAUCGACGAGGGGGUUUACGACCUCGAUGUUGGAUCAGGACAUCCUAAUGGUGCAGCCGCUAUUAAGGGUUCGUUUGUUCAACGAUUAAAGUCCUACGUGAUCUG